AGUAAAUAGGAAGGAGGUCUAGACAAAACACCAGGAAGAACAGAAAACAAGAAAUUGAAGAGUACCACAGGAAAGCUGUGUCCCUGUAUCAUGUGCUGUUUGGGCUUCUGAAGUGUCCGGCAGAUUUUUAAUCAUAUGAGGUAAAUACUUAAUUUAUUUUAAUUAUAUUUUCAGGAUGAAAUGAAUUACCAUUUUGUGUCUUCAGACUUAUUUUCUUU
rnacentral:lncRNA from 1 species